rnacentral:tRNA from 1 species
GCCUUCGUGGUGCAGUGGUCAGCACACUCGACGCGUAUUCGAGAGGGCCGUGGUUCGAGUCCCGGCGAGGGCA